CCGGCGCACGGUGAGUAACACGUAUCCAACCUGCCGUCUACUCUUGGCCAGCCUUCUGAAGGAAGAUUAAUCCAGGAUGGGAUCAUGAGUUCACAUGUCCGCAUGAUUAAAGGUAUUUUCCGGUAGACGAUGGGGAUGCGUUCCAUUAGAUAGUAGGCGGGGUAACGGCCCACCUAGUCAACGAUGGAUAGGGGUUCUGAGAGGAAGGUCCCCCACAUUGGAACUGAGACACGGUCCAA
rnacentral:rRNA from 1 species